rfam:Geminocystis sp. NIES-3708 DNA, complete genome.
GGAGAGGUGGCAGAGUGGUUGAAUGCGGCAGUCUCGAAAAUUGUUAAGGUGUCAAAACCUUCGAGGGUUCAAAUCCCUCCCUCUCCG